UGCCCGUGUCCAGCCUGGCCACGGCCGCCGAGCCCGAGCGGGCAGGGGGCAGAGUCGCCCGCAGCUGCAGCUGAGCCAGCGGCUCCCCCUGCCCCGCGGCUUCAGCUCCGUGCAGCGGGCGCUGAGGAGGGCCCAGAAGCUCCCAGAGCAGCCCCCCACCUCCUCCUGGCCUUUCCCUCUCCACUGUCUCUCUCCAGGGGACUGGAGGGGCACAGGCCUGCAGCUACACCAACAACGCGCCUUCUCUGCCCCUCAGCUCACUAGGAACUCAGUGUGUGCCUGUCCCCCCAACCCUGCUCCUCGCAGACUGAAGCCCCAAAAGGCACAAGCUAAGAUUUCCUGUAUGAGCAGAGCACAGGUUCUCCUUCAGGCCUGGGGACAGAGUGAGAGAGGAACGCUCCUAACCCGCUGUGGCAUUUUUGCCAAUCCUGCAAGACUCUCAGCUGUAGGCAGGAGCCUGGGAUGACUGUGCAGUUCAGAAGGGGGAUAGAGAAGCAGCCCCCUGAACGGUCAACCCCACAGAAGCGAAUGCCACCAGCCCCCUUCCCGCUUCCACCAACUGCUGUUACCAUUCAGAGUUCACAUUCUGCCAGCCUCCACUGGGGCAGUUUGGGACUAGGGCUCCCAUUAUAUUAAGUGCUGUUGUACAAACACCUAGAAAGACAUGGGCCUUGCCUGGAGGAUUUUACAAUCCAAGAUGCCUAUUUCAUGCAUUGUAAACCUUACCCAACAGUCAGACCACAGUCCAGGUGAUUACUGUACAGGUCCUCACCUGCAAGGAAAAGAUCAGUAAUGCAGAAAGAACACCAUAUGGCUAAUAAGUUGCAGUUCCACCCUUACCUCAUAAAAGGUAAUCCGCUUGGAGCCCAUGGACUUCUUGCUUAAAGAAUUAUUCACCUAUGACAUGGCACUUUUCCAUCUGCUGAAAAACAUCAUCUGUGACAGUAACUUGUUUCAGUGAAACUAUGAACGUUAGACAGAUGAAAAGGAUUCAAACUGGCUCCCAGGUAGGUCUAUGCACACUCAUCCACAAGAUGUACUGGAUUAGGAGGCCCUGACUGCUAAAACCUCUUGCAGCAGCAGUGUGUGAAAUCUGUUCUAUUGCUCUGAGUUCUUGAAGUGAAGGUACUACAGACUGAAUUAUCUGGAGGAGAGGUGAAUCUCCCAGCCAGCUAGAUUCAUGGAAGAGCUGGAGGCUGAGUCAAAGCAAGAGACGCAUACAAGAAAAUGCAGCAUGAUGACUAUGGAGAAAAGACUGAGCAGCUAGUAGUGUGGAACAGGAAGGCUAAGAAUUGGGAAAUAUACCCCUCAUGCUUCCAGUAACUGCAGUACGAGGUCAGAGGUUUUGUCCUACUAUCAGGACAGCAAGACUCUUAUUGUAUUGCAUUUCAAUUGAGUUGCUUCAGAGGGUAAGUGAAAAAAUGUUAGUUUAGCUUUCACUGUAAUUGCUAAAACAAUUGUGCAUUAUGUAUUUAAUUUUUAAUCCUGGCAGCCCUAAUAAAGAAAUAACAAUUACUUGAAGCAUCUGAGUAUGUAUGGGAACACAGCAAUGACUAGAGUUAGUAUAGACUAGUGCUUGGAGCUUCUGAGCUCCGAACAUACAAAAUAUGGUACCAAACUUCUAGAUAUUCUGGCAUGUCAGAGUAUUCACAGCAAUAACUGGCAAUGGGAGUGGUUGCAGUAUUUUCAGUUCUUAUUCAACAAGAGCUGUAGAAUAGUUUUGAAAAACCAAGUAUUAGCUGAAAACUAAACUGUAAUAAUUCUAAGGGAAAAGUCAUUACAGAAACUUUUGGGUAUGUGAUUUUAGUUGCAUACUCCAACUUCAGAAAUAUGCCAGAGAAGAUGCUUCAUGAAACACCUCUGUAGUUUAUCUCAAACCAUUAGUUCAGCACACCUUCAACCAGUGUAUUUCCAGGUUUGGAAGAGGCACACAAGACCAGGUGGCUGAGGCAUGCUCAAGACCAGCCUGGCUUGGAUACGUUACCACUGCAGUGUAGACUUAUUCGUAGCAUAUCAGGACAAAGAAAUAGAACCCACCCACCACUGGGUCCUUUGCUUUGCUGUUCCUUCCCUUUUACCUGAAUUGUAGCAGUCUUGUAGCUGUGAUGGUUCCCUGAAGAAUUUCUCUGGCAUAUUUCUGAAGUUGGCAUAUGUGUGUGCAAGCAGAUAGCUGUGGUAUACAUGGAAUGGCCCACUCAGGACAUGCUGUCACUGCAGGAUAGACAUGCACUAGAUCUUUGGACAAAUCAUUUAUGGUAGAUGGCCUCUACCACUUCUGUACCUCGUUAGGGUGUGGCAAGGUUUAAUCUCAUUGUAAAACAUCUUAAGAACCUUGUAAAACAUUUGCAGAGCCCAUUCACUAGUAGCCUGCCCUCUUCCCACCACGGACAGGAAACUGCUGUGCCUAUUGAGCUGCAAACCCCAGUCCAUGCUAGGCUCCAGCUCUGCUCUCUGGCAGGCUGUAAUGGAGUCAAUUUUCCCUCUGUACUUUUGGAGGACAGGGAAACAGAACAAUCAGGGAUGCUGGCGGAGUAAGAAACCCUUUGGGUGAACAUAAAGUGACAAUUUUUGCCUGAUCAGGCCACAGAAAGCAGUCUAAAGUCAUGAUCAAACAAGUGCAUGGCUGCAGACCACUUAAAAAAAUGUCAUAGAUUUCAUAGACAUUAGGGCUG